UCGAGUGCAUGAAGCUGGAAUCGCUAGUAAUCGCGGAUCAGAAUGCCGCGGUGAAUACGUUCCCGGGUCUUGCACACACCGCCCGUCACACCAUGGGAGUCGGGAAUGCCCGAAGCCGGUGGCCCAAUCGAAAGAAGGGAGCCGUCGAAGGCAGGCCGGAUGACUGGGGUGAAGUCGUAACAAGGUACC
rnacentral:rRNA from 1 species